rnacentral:SRP_RNA from 1 species
CUCCUCUUGGAGGUUUGCCAUUCGGAGCCUCUAGCACCGGUUGGUCGGUGUUGAUAGCUGGGUCCUGCGCGGCGGAAAGCCGUGAACCCCGUCAGGUCUGGAAGGAAGCAGCGGUAAGCGGUGUCUUCCGGGUGCCGCAGGGUCGCCUGGCUUGAGCUGUCACCGUGGCUAUGCUCUCGAACGGGAAUCGAAUAGAGGUGCACGA